AGCGAGCGUAGGUGGCUUGAUAAGUCAGAUGUGAAAUCCCCGGGCUUAACCUGGGAACUGCAUCUGAUACUGUUAGGCUAGAAUAGGUGAGAGGAAGGUAGAAUUCCAGGUGUAGUGGUGAAAUGCGUAGAGAUCUGGAGGAAUACCGAUGGCGAAGGCAGCCUUCUGGCAUCAUAUUGACACUGAGGUUCGAAAGCGUGGGUAGCAAACAGGAUUAGAUACCCUGGUAGUCCACGCCGUAAACGAUGUCUACUAGUCGUUGGGUCCCUUGAGGACUUAGUGACGCAGCUAACGCAAUAAGUAGACCGCCUGGGGAGUACGGCCGCAAGGUUAAAACUCAAAUGAAUUGACGGGGGCCCGCACAAGCGGUGGAGCAUGUGGUUUAAUUCGAUGCAACGCGAAGAACCUUACCUGGUCUUGACAUAUCUAGAAUCCUGCAGAGAUGCGGGAGUGCCUUCGGGAAUUAGAAUACAGGUGCUGCAUGGCUGUCGUCAGCUCGUGUCGUGAGAUGUUGGGUUAAGUCCCGCAACGAGCGCAACCCUUGUCCUUAGUUACCAGCGGGUUAAGCCGGGAACUCUAAGGAUACUGCCAGUGACAAACUGGAGGAAGGCGGGGACGACGUCAAGUCAUCAUGGCCCUUACGACCAGGGCUACACACGUGCUACAAUGGUAGGUACAGAGGGCAGCUACACAGCGAUGUGAUGCGAAUCUCAAAAAGCCUAUCGUAGUCCAGAUUGGAGUCUGCAACUCGACUCCAUGAAGUAGGAAUCGCUAGUAAUGGCGG
rnacentral:rRNA from 1 species